rnacentral:rRNA from 1 species
AUACGGAGGACGCGAGCGUUAUCCGGAUUCAUUGGGUUUAAAGGGUGCGCAGGCGGCCGUGCAAGUCAGCGGUGAAAGCCCGGGGCUCAACCCCGGAAGUGCCGUUGAUACUGCAUGGCUGGAAUGCGGUCGAGGCGGGCGGAACGUGGCGCGUAGCGGUGAAAUGCGUAGAUAUGCCCCAGAACACCGAUAGCGGGGGAGGCUCGCCAGUCCUGCAUGGAGGCGCGGGCACGAAAGCGGGGGGAUCGAGCAGGAUUAGAUACCCUGGUAGUCCACGCCGUAAACGAUGGGCGCUCGUCGUCGGCGGCAGACAGUCGGCGGCCAAGCGAAAGCGAUAAGUUAUCCACCUGGGGAGUACGACCGCAAGGUUGAAACUCAAAUGAAUUGACGGGG